ACGGAAGGCAGCAGUGGGGAAUAUUGCACAAUGGGCGCAAGCCUGAUGCAGCGAUGCCGCGUGAGGGAAGAAGGUUUUCGGAUUGUAAACCUCUGUCAUCGGGGACGAUAAUGACUGUACCCGAGAAGGAAGCUCCGGCUAACUACGUGCCAGCAGCCGCGGUAAUACGUAGGGAGCGGGCGUUAUCCGGAAUUACUGGGUGUAAAGGGAGUGUAGGCGGGACUGUAAGUCAGAUGUGAAAUAUACCGGCUCAACUGGUAGACUGCAUUUGAAACUGCGGUUCUUGAGUGAAGUAGAGGUAAGCGGAAUUCCUAGUGUAGCGGUGAAAUGCGUAGAUAUUAGGAGGAACACCAGUGGCGAAGGCGGCUUACUGGACUGUAACUGACGUUGAGGCUCGAAAGCGUGGGGAGCAAACAGGAUUAGAUACCCUGGUA
rnacentral:rRNA from 1 species